rnacentral:rRNA from 1 species
GCAAGUCGAGCGGGGAAUGGUAGCUUGCUACCUGACCUAGCGGCGGACGGGUGAGUAAUGCUUAGGAAUCUGCCUAUUAGUGGGGGACAACAUUCCGAAAGGAAUGCUAAUACCGCAUACGCCCUACGGGGGAAAGCAGGGGAUCUUCGGACCUUGCGCUAAUAGAUGAGCCUAAGUCAGAUUAGCUAGUUGGUGGGGUAAAGGCCUACCAAGGCGACGAUCUGUAGCGGGUCUGAGAGGAUGAUCCGCCACACUGGGACUGAGACACGGCCCAGACUCCUACGGGAGGCAGCAGUGGGGAAUAUUGGACAAUGGGCGAAAGCCUGAUCCAGCCAUGCCGCGUGUGUGAAGAAGGCCUUUUGGUUGUAAAGCACUUUAAGCGAGGAGGAGGCUACCGGGAUUAAUACUCUUGGAUAGUGGACGUUACUCGCAGAAUAAGCACCGGCUAACUCUGUGCCAGCAGCCGCGGUAAUACAGAGGGUGCGAGCGUUAAUCGGAUUUACUGGGCGUAAAGCGUGCGUAGGCGGCUUUUUAAGUCGGAUGUGAAAUCCCUGAGCUUAACUUAGGAAUUGCAUUCGAUACUGGGAAGCUAGAGUAUGGGAGAGGAUGGUAGAAUUCCAGGUGUAGCGGUGAAAUGCGUAGAGAUCUGGAGGAAUACCGAUGGCGAAGGCAGCCAUCUGGCCUAAUACUGACGCUGAGGUACGAAAGCAU